AUUUCUGUUGUUUGAUAAGAAUUCCUAUGGGUGGAAUUGCUGAGUCAGGGACUCCCUCAGGAGGAUUAUCAAUGGAGCACUAAGGAGAAUGCAAUAGACUCUUCCUGAGGAGACCAAGGGCCAGAAGGGACCUGUGGAAUCAUCUAAGCCCUGGCUUUGGAGAUGGGGAAACCAAGGCCCCCAAAGACUCAGAGCACUCACUUCAAUAAUCUUUAACUGAACCUCAGAAGUGUCUCAUACACAGUGAUUCAGCCAGUUCAGGGCACAGUUGAACAUACCGUAAAUAUUGACACCUAGUACAAUUGGCUGCACAGCGCGGCUUGUGGGAUCUUAGUUCCCUGACCAGGAAUCGAACCCGCGCCCCCUGCAGUGGAAGCACCGGAAGCCUGUAGUCUUAACCACUGGACCGCCAGGGAAGCCCCCCACCUAGUACAAUUCGUAUCCUCCUCACCCUGUGUACAAACUCGGAAAUUAAGAUCACUGAUCACAUCCCAGCCCAGUCAAGGCCAGGUGUGUGCUAGAGUUGGCUCCUACUGGCUCUCAAGCCUCUCUCUCCAAAGUAUUAUAAUUCUCUAUGGUCCACCAAAACACCCAUUCCCAAAUCCAUCAUAGCCCCGUCGGUACUACUCAAAGAGCCAGCAAAUGUUUGCCUGAAUGCUUGCUGUGUGCCAGGCCCCUGUCUGAGCACGUAUCACAGUGAGAUAGUUAUCAUUUCCAUCAUACAGCUGAGGAAACUGAGACUCAGAGACUUUAUUUUUUUUUCUUCUCAUUUUUUAUUCAGUCAACAAUAUUUAAGAGGAAUCCAAGAUAUAAAAGGCACUUUGCAGGAUGCUACCAAGGUGAGUCAGUCAAGGACUCUGCUCUCAAAUUUCACAAGGUGAGAGAUAGAGAACAAUGAAACAAGAAGGAAAGGGAUGGGCAAAAUGUGAGAUGAGAAGGCAAAAGAUGGGGCUGUACUCCCAUGGGGCAUAGUCAGGGAACAAUUCCUGGACGCAGUGACAUUGGAAGUAG